rnacentral:tRNA from 1 species
GCGGAAGUAGUUCAGUGGUAGAACAUCACCUUGCCAAGGUGGGGGUCGCGGGUUCGAACCCCGUCUUUCCGCU